UACGAAGGGGGCUAGCGUUGCUCGGAAUCACUGGGCGUAAAGCGCACGUAGGCGGAUUGCUAAGUCAGGGGUGAAAUCCUGGAGCUCAACUCCAGAACUGCCUUUGAUACUGGCGGUCUCGAGUCCGGGAGAGGUGAGUGGAACUGCGAGUGUAGAGGUGAAAUUCGUAGAUAUUCGCAAGAACACCAGUGGCGAAGGCGGCUCACUGGCCCGGUACUGACGCUGAGGUGCGAAAGCGUGGGGAGCAAACA
rnacentral:rRNA from 1 species